rnacentral:rRNA from 1 species
GAUGAACGCUGGCGGCGUGCCUAAUACAUGCAAGUCGAGCGAACGGACGAGAAGCUUGCUUUUCUGAUGUUAGCGGCGGACGGGUGAGUAACACGUGGAUAACCUACCUCUAAGACUGGGAUAACUUCGGGAAACCGGAGCUAAUACCGGAUAAUAUUUUGAACCGCAUGGUUCAAAAGUGAAAGACGGUCUUGCUGUCACUUAUAGAUGGAUCCGCGCUGCAUUAGCUAGUUGGUAAGGUAACGGCUUACCAAGGCAACGAUGCAUAGCCGACCUGAGAGGGUGAUCGGCCACACUGGAACUGAGACACGGUCCAGACUCCUACGGGAGGCAGCAGUAGGGAAUCUUCCGCAAUGGGCGAAAGCCUGACGGAGCAACGCCGCGUGAGUGAUGAAGGUCUUCGGAUCGUAAAACUCUGUUAUUAGGGAAGAAAAUAUGUGUAAGUAACUGUGCACAUCUUGACGGUACCUAAUCAGAAAGCCACGGCUAACUACGUG